rnacentral:rRNA from 1 species
GAUGAACGCUGGCGGCGUGCUUAACACAUGCAAGUCGAACGGAAAGGCCCAAGCUUGCUUGGGUACUCGAGUGGCGAACGGGUGAGUAACACGUGGGUGAUCUGCCCUGCACUUCGGGAUAAGCCUGGGAAACUGGGUCUAAUACCGGAUAGGACCACUUCUUGGAUGUUGUGGUGGAAAGUUUUUUCGGUGUGGGAUGAGCUCGCGGCCUAUCAGCUUGUUGGCGGGGUAAUGGCCUACCAAGGCGUCGACGGGUAGCCGGCCUGAGAGGGUGUACGGCCACAUUGGGACUGAGGUAAGGCCCAGACUCCUACGGGAGGCAGCAGUGGGGAAUAUUGAACAAUGGGCGCAAGCCGGAUGCAGCGACGCCGCGUGGGGGAUGACGGCCUUCGGGUUGUAAACUCCUUUCGCUAGGGACGAAGCGUUUUGUGACGGUACCUGGAGAAGAAGCACCGGCUAACUACGUG